UACGUAGGUGGCAAGCGUUUGUCCGGAAUUAUUGGGCGUAAAGCGCGCGCAGGCAGUCCUUUAAGUCUGAUGUGAAAGCCCACGGCUCAACCGUGGAGGGUCAUUGGAAACUGGGGGGACUUGAGUGCAGAAGAGGAGAGUGGAAUUCCACGUGUAGCGGUGAAAUGCGUAGAGAUGUGGAGGAACACCAGUGGCGAAGGCGACUCUCUGGUCUGUAACUGACGCUGAGGCGCGAAAGCGUGGGGAGCAAACAGG
rnacentral:rRNA from 1 species